AAACUAUUAAAUUUGAUUGAAUUCUUAGGUGAAAUUAUUAGAAUACUUUAACUCUCUGAAUAUUGAAAGUUAAAAAAUAUUAAUAAAAAAAGAUUAGCUUUAUAAUGUAUAGAAAGCUAUAUAUUUUUUUAUUUUUUAUUAUAAUUUUAAAUUUUAAAAUUUUAAUAAUUAUAUAUAUAUUGAUUGACUGAAAUGCUAUCGAUCAGCCGCGAAGCGC
rnacentral:lncRNA from 1 species